GAUUUCUCCAAGAAACUGACUCAGUUCUGAUGACUGACUCAGUUCUUGUGUCAAAAUCAUAUGUUUUUCUGGAUAGUAGAUUCUUAGCCAUGCUCACUUUCAUUUUUUCAAAAUGCCCAGGAUCACAGCAUUUUUCAUUCAGGUAAAUUGCACUCAGCAAUGGCAUACUGUGGGAUGAAAAAUGUUUGUCCACGAGUCAAAUGAUUCCUGAUAUUCUUCAAAACAUGUGGCCGAUGACUGACUCAGUUCUUGUGUCAAAAUCAUAUGUUUUUCUGGAUAGUAGAUUCUUAGCCAUGCUCACUUUCAUUUUUUCAAAAUGCCCAGGAUCACAGCAUUUUUCAUUCAGGUAAAUUGCACUCAGCAAUGGCAUACUGUGGGAUGAAAAAUGUUUGUCCACGAGUCAGAUGAUUCCUGAUAUUCUUCAAAACAUGUGGAACAUCAGACAUAAAUCUAAGAAUGAAUUUCCAGUGAAGAAGUACGCAACAACUUGUUUCCAUCUUGCUGUCAAACCACAUAACAUGAAAACCAUGGCAUGUGUUGCCAU